rnacentral:misc_RNA from 1 species
AUUUCAAUGAACGUUGUGCAAAGGUAUAUAAGGUGUGGUGUCUAUAUAUUUUGUGUGAUGGCGUGUGUUGAGUGUGGGCUCUACUUGCGGGAGGCUCAUCUGUGAAAUAACUAUAGUGCUGCGCUCUGCUUGUCUAGUUCAAGUGCUCUCUAAGUCUAGACUAGACUAAAAACUAAGCUAAAAUUAGACUCGCUAAAUAGGCUCAGUGGUGACGCAUAUAUGCCGACGGUCGUCAUCGUGACAACAGCCCACCAGAAAGCGUCCGGAAUGGACUUGAAGAAUGAAUUCUCGGAGCCUGCCUCAGCGAAGUAUACAGCCGACGAGAAUAGCACCACACCUGGAAUAGAAGGGAGAAAACCUCGUUCAGAAUUAUUAAGUCGUAGCGUGUACCUCAUGUCCCCGUAGCCAACGGUCGUCAUCGUGACAACAGCCCACCAGAACGCGUCCGGUAUCGAUUUGAAGAAACUCUCCUGCGAACCAGCUUCCGCGAAGUACACCACCGAACUGAACAGGAUUACCCCUGAAACACGGCCCCUUUUUUGCUUUUCUAUCUAUGUACUACUACUAACACCAUUACACCACAGCUCACCUACAAUAUUCAGUCGUGUAUUUAAUAAUUUUUCCUCUUUUCAUUCACAUUUAAUGUAUUCUAUCUUGUAUCAUUACACGUACAAUUGUAGCCCUUAUUUUUUUUUUUAAUUUCUUUAAUUUGGAAAUUUACACCUGGCGAGGUUGAUUCUGAGUCCAAGUCCUACCGUUUUGUAUCGGUAAAAUGCAUCAGAACCGAUCUUUCCAGGAGGGCAUUCAGAGUCAUUUCAUACCAAAUCAAUUGAUCUGUGCUUCCGACUAGAUUGAAAAAAAGAUGAAUUUAGAGCGAAACCAAAGUAAAGGGACCGUAGUCGUUCUUGUAUCUCAUUUCUUUGAUGUUGUUCUCUUUUUUAGCAAAGAGAUUUAAACAUACCUAUUUGUUGAGUUUUUUUGCAAGGAAUCUACAAUCUUCAAAAAGUCUGUUGCGUAUUAUUGUUUUACAAAAAAAUUCCAAAAAAACUGAUUCCAAUGGUUUUUGGAUUGUGGACUAUUGUACAUAAAUAAUAUGUAUAUAUUUUUUUUAUUCCGCUUGGGAUCACAGAUUAAUUGAACAGGCAUAAAAUACCGUACACGGAUAUGAAAAGAAGAAAAAAAAACCCAUUUCAAGUUUUUCCACAGCGGCCAUUUACGAUUU